rnacentral:SRP_RNA from 1 species
GCCGGGCAUGGUGGCGCAUGCCUGUAAUCCCAGCUCCUUGGGAGGCUGAGGCAGGAGACUCACUUGAACCCGGGAGGCGGAGGUUGCAGUGAGCUGAGAUUGCGCCGCUGCACUCCAGCUUGGGCAACAGAGUGAGACUCUGUCUCAA